GCCUUCAUGGUAUAGUGGUCAGAACGUUCGACGCGUACUCGAGAGUUCCGUGGUUCGAGUCCCGGCGAGGGCA
rfam:Stegodyphus mimosarum contig95842, whole genome shotgun sequence.